CUGUGGUCCGAUUUUGUUGGUUUCUCGGACCAAAGUAAUGAUUAACAGGGACAGUUGGGGGCAUUGGUAUUUCAUUGCUAGAGGUGAAAUUCUUGGAUUUAUGAAAGACCAACUAUUGCGAAAGCAUUUGCCAAGGAUGUUUUCAUUAAUCAAGAACGAAAGUUAGGGGAUCGAAGACGAUCAGAUACCGUCGUAGUCUUAACCAUAAACGAUGCCGACUAGGGAUCGGGCGAUGUCGUAUUGCUGACUCGCCCGGCACCUUGCGAGAAAUCACGAGUAUCCGGUUCUGGGGGGAGUACGGUCGCAAGGCUGAAACUUAAAGGAAUUGACGGAAGGGCACCACCAGGAGUGGAGCCUGCGGCUUAAUUUGACUCAACACGGGGAAACUCACCAGGUCCAGA
rnacentral:rRNA from 1 species